rnacentral:rRNA from 1 species
GAUGAACGCUGGCGGCGUGCCUAAUACAUGCAAGUCGAGCGAACGGACGAGAAGCUUGCUUCUCUGAUGUUAGCGGCGGACGGGUGAGUAACACGUGGAUAACCUACCUAUAAGACUGGGAUAACUUCGGGAAACCGUAGCUAAUACCGGAUAAUAUUUUGAACCGCAUGGUUCAAAAGUGAAAGACGGUCUUGCUGUCACUUAUAGAUGGAUCCGCGCUGCAUUGGCUAGUUGGUAAGGUAACGGCUUACCAAGGCAACGAUGCAUAGCCGACCUGAGAGGGUGAUCGGCCACCCUGGAACAGAGACACGGUCCAGACUCCUACGGGAGGCAGCAGUAGGGAAUCUUCCGCAAUGGGCGAAAGCCUGACGGAGCAACGCCGCGUGAGUGAUGAAGGUCUUCGGAUCGUAAAACUCUGUUAUUAGGGAAGAACAUAUGUGUAAGUAACUGUGCACAUCUUGACGGUACCUAAUCAGAAAGCCACGGCUAACUACGUG